ensembl:misc_RNA 7SK 7SK RNA
AGAUUUGAGGGCGAUCUGGCUGCAACAUCUGUCACCCCACUGAUCACCAGGGUUGAUUCGGCUGAUCUGGCUGACUAGGCAGGUGUCCCCUUCCUCCCUCACUGCUCCAUGUUCGUCCCUCCCGAAGCUGCGCGCUUGGUGGAAGAGGACGGCCUUCAUCGAAGAGAUGGACCGGUCUUCGUUCGAGGGUAUGGGAAUAACUGCGCUCCCCUGCUAAAACCUCCAAACAAGCUCUCAAGAACUUUAGAGCCUCAGGCAUGAGAGUCUGUUUGCAUAACCAUUAUGCUAUCUACCCUCUGU